CUGAGCUUAUUUCAAAACCCCAAAGCUAAAAUCUUUUACUUCUUCCUGACCUUCCUGGCUUGGGAAUUCAGGCAGCCUCUUGGGAGCUUCCCCUGCCUGUUAUAAAUUUCUCUACAAGUCAUCCAUUCAGCCCUCGCUGAUUAAGUGCUGUGCCCCAGGCAGAGGGAGAGCAGGAAGGAGUAGGGUCCAUCUUCAAGGGGCUCAGAGUCUAUAGGCAACAAAGACCUGUUAAUGAAUUAGAGCUCAGCGGUGUGCUGAGUGCUGUAAUAGCCAUGGCCAUGGGCUGUUGGGAAAAUACAGAGGUUCGAACCACCAGCUCUCAGGGGAGGUCCAGGAACGUAGAGUUAAGCUGAGCCUUGAAGGAUGGAGAGGAGUUCCUUACAUAGAGAAGAUGGAGCAGUGUCCUUAAUAUGCUGAGAGUCAGAAAGUCACGUGCUCACCAAGCUCAGGAGCCGGGCAGGGGGAGUCGGCCGCAGGAAUUGUUGGAGGCAGUGAAUUAGAAGGCCCACAUCCUGCCCACACGGCCUUUGCUGGGCAGAUGGCCUGGGCUGGGGUCAGCCUCCAUUUGCUCCAUUGACCAGCUGCCUUGUGCAGUGCACAACCCCCACAACCUCACGUGGCUGCCCCAAGCUGGUGAUCCGCUGCAUCUUGCCCUGCUGGAAAAGACAGUGUGGUUUUGUCACAUCUUACUUUUUCAAGAAAAGUCAGAAACCCAGAAUUUGAUGUGAAAUUUUCCAAUUUGUCAAACGCUGUCGAGGCCAAACAAUAUCCAACCUCAGACUAGACCCACUCUGGAGUCCCAGUUUGCAGCCCCAGUGGGAACCAAUCCCAGGACACAUCCUGCUCUUUCUCUUUCCCUUUUGUACCACACAGCACAGUCCUUUGCUGAGAUUUGAUGGGGGGGAAACACGAUCACUGAUGCAACUCCCACCAUGAGCUGCUGCAAAGCCCUGGCAGAAAGAUGAGAUUGGCCUCAGAGCAACAUGGGGCUGCCUGGCCGCGGCCACUCCCUGAGCCUGCUUGAAGCACCAACACCUGCUUCCCCAGGACAAAUAUGGACAGAGAAUAAAGAGAGACCUUCGAGGCCUGUUUAUUUAUAUUUCUAUUGUUUGUUCACUGAUGUGUCUGUAGCACCUAAACGGAGCCUGGCAAAUAGUAGAUGUUUGAUAAAUAUUUAUUGACUCAUCAGCUGGAGAUGUGUUGAUAUUUUUUUUUAUUUUUGUUGUUAUUGGUUUUAUAGCAGCACCUGCCACAUAUAGAAGUUCCCAGGGUAGGGG
rnacentral:lncRNA from 9 species